GUACACUCCUACGGGAGGCAGCAGUGGGGAAUUUUGGACAAUGGGCGAAAGCCUGAUCCAGCAAUGCCGCGUGAGUGAAGAAGGCCUUCGGGUUGUAAAGCUCUUUUGUCAGGGAAGAAACGGUGAAAGCUAAUAUCUUUUGCUAAUGACGGUACCUGAAGAAUAAGCACCGGCUAACUACGUGCCAGCAGCCGCGGUAAUACGUAGGGUGCAAGCGUUAAUCGGAAUUACUGGGCGUAAAGCGUGCGCAGGCGGUUUUGUAAGUCUGAUGUGAAAUCCCCGGGCUCAACCUGGGAAUUGCAUUGGAGACUGCAAGGCUAGAAUCUGGCAGAGGGGGGUAGAAUUCCACGUGUAGCAGUGAAAUGCGUAGAUAUGUGGAGGAACACCGAUGGCGAAGGCAGCCCCCUGGGUCAAGAUUGACGCUCAUGCACGAAAGCGUGGGGAGCAAACAGGAUUAGAUACCCCGGUAGUCCCAUGA
rnacentral:rRNA from 1 species